rnacentral:rRNA from 1 species
UAAUAGCGUAUAUUAAAGUUGUUGCAGUUAAAAAGCUCGUAGUCGGAUGUCGGGCUCGGAGAGGCUGUCGGCCUACGGUCGGACGGCAACUCCGGGCCUUUCUGCCUGGGGAUCCUACUCUACUUAAUUGUAGGGUAGUGGGACGCAGGCCGUUUACUUUGAAAAAAUUAGAGUGUUCAAAGCAGGCCUACGCUUGAAUACAUUAGCAUGGAAUAAUGGAAUAGGACUUUGGUCUUAUUUGUUGGUUUAUGGGACCGAAGUAAUGAUUAACAGGGACAGUUGGGGCCGUUUAUAUUUCGUUGUCAGAGGUGAAAUUCUUGGAUUUACGAAAGAUAAACUUCUGCGAAAGCAUUCGGCAAGGAUGUUUUCAUUGA